GCUACGGGAGGCAGCAGUGGGGAAUAUUGCACAAUGGGCGCAAGCCUGAUGCAGCCAUGCCGCGUGUGUGAAGAAGGCCUUCGGGUUGUAAAGCACUUUCAGCGGGGAGGAAGGCGUUAAGGUUAAUAACCUUGGCGAUUGACGUUACCCGCAGAAGAAGCACCGGCUAACUCCGUGCCAGCAGCCGCGGUAAUACGGAGGGUGCAAGCGUUAAUCGGAAUUACUGGGCGUAAAGCGCACGCAGGCGGUCUGUCAAGUCGGAUGUGAAAUCCCCGGGCUCAACCUGGGAACUGCAUUCGAAACUGGCAGGCUAGAGUCUUGUAGAGGGGGGUAGAAUUCCAGGUGUAGCGGUGAAAGGCGUAGAGAUCUGGAGGAAUACCGGUGGCGAAGGCGGCCCCCUGGACAAAGACUGACGCUCAGGUGCGAAAGCGUGGGGAGCAAACAGGAUUAGAUACCCGGGUAGUC
rnacentral:rRNA from 1 species